rnacentral:rRNA from 1 species
AGCGAACGCUGGCGGCAGGCCUAAUACAUGCAAGUCGAACGGAUCCUUCGGGAUUAGUGGCGGACGGGUGAGUAACACGUGGGAACGUGCCCUUUGGUUCGGAACAACUCAGGGAAACUUGAGCUAAUACCGGAUAAGCCCUUCGGGGAAGAUUAUCGCCAUUGGAACGGCCGCGUCUGAUUAGCUAGUUGGUGGGGUAAAGGCCUACCAAGGCGACGAUCAGUAGCUGGUCUGAGAGGAUGANCAGCCAGACUGGGACUGAGACACGGCCCAGACUCUACGGGAGGCAGCAGCAAGGAAUUUUCCCCAAUGGGCGCAAGCCUGAGGGAGCAACGCCGCGUGCGGGACGAC